rnacentral:rRNA from 1 species
AGUGAACGCUGGCGGUAGGCCUAACACAUGCCAGUCGAACGGCAGCACAGUAAGAGCUUGCUCUUACGGGUGGCGAGUGGCGUACGGGUGAGGAAUACAUCGGAAUCUACUUUUUCGUGGGGGAUAACGUAGGGAAACUUACGCUAAUACCGCAUACGACCUACGGGUGAAAGCAGGGGAUCUUCGGACCUUGCGCGAUUGAAUGAGCCGAUGUCGGAUUAGCUAGUUGGCGGGGUAAAGGCCCACCAAGGCGACGAUCCGUAGCUGGUCUGAGAGGAUGAUCAGCCACACUGGAACUGAGACACGGUCCAGACUCCUACGGGAGGCAGCAGUGGGGAAUAUUGGACAAUGGGCGCAAGCCUGAUCCAGCCAUACCGCGUGGGUGAAGAAGGCCUUCGGGUUGUAAAGACCUUUUGUUGGGAAAGAAAAGCAGCAGGUUAAUACCACGCUGUUCUGACGGUACCCAAAGAAUAAGCACCGGCUAACUUCGUG